rnacentral:rRNA from 1 species
UACGGGGGGUGCGAGCGUUGUCCGGAAUCACUGGGCGUAAAGGGCGCGUAGGUGGCGCGGGCAGUCAACGGUGAAAGUUCGGGGCUCAACCCUGAAUCGGCCGUCGAUACUCCCGAGCUCGAGCACUGUAGAGGCAGAUGGAAUUCCGGGUGUAGCGGUGGAAUGCGUAGAGAUCCGGAAGAACACCGGUGGCGAAGGCGGUCUGCUGGGCAGUAGCUGACACUGAGGCGCGACAGCGUGGGAGCAACAGG